UACACUCCUACGGGAGGCAGCAGUGGGGAAUUUUACGCAAUGGGGGAAACCCUGACGUAGCGACACCGCGUGAGCGAAGAAGCCCUUUGGGGUGUAAAGCUCUGUCAGCUGGAACGAAAACAAUGACGGUACCAGCAGAGGAAGCAUCGGCUAACUACGUGCCAGCAGCCGCGGUAAGACGUAGGAUGCGAGCGUUGUCCGGAUUUAUUGGGCGUAAAGAGUUCGUAGGUGGUUUGUUAAGUUUGGUGUUAAAGAUCGGGGCUCAACCCUGGGACUGCACUGAAUACUGGCAGACUCGAGUGUGGUAGAGGCUAGUGGAAUUCCCAGUGUAGCGGUGAAAUGCGUAGAUAUUGGGAAGAACACCGGUGGCGUAGGCGACUAGCUGGGCCAUAACUGACGCUGAGGAACGAAAGCCAGGGGAGCGAAUGGGAUUAGAUACCCUUGUAGUCCCA
rnacentral:rRNA from 1 species